GGGUCAGGAAAAACAGUUCUAGCGUUUCAGAUUUGGAGGCAGAUGCAUAAUGUUAGAUGUACGAUGUUUUGUACAGAUAUACGUUUCAUUAUCACAUCAUCAUCUUAUUUAGUGUAUGAUGCAUGCAUCUACAAAAACUUGAAGGAAGUGAUAAAAGGAAACAACUCAUUGAGUAACUUCAGUUUUCUGAUGAUCUGACAGACAGACGGAGUGAAGAGACACACUGUUCUUCUGAAGUUUAACAACUUUUCUGCAUCAGGAUCAAAGUCAGAAUGAAAAUCCUCCAUUUUCUAUUUUUCUGCUUCUUUUCAGAUCCAGCUCGGCUCGUCAAGGCAAAACAUAAUAUCUGGUCUGCUGCUGAAAGAGCAAAUGGUACACUUAGCUGCAACUUAUUUUUGUCUGGAAGCACAAAGUUUUUCUGCAAGGAAAAAUGUGUGCGAGCAGAAGAUACCCUCAUUAAAACAGAUGGAAGCACAGCUCAGAGUGGGAGAUUCAGCAUUAAAUAUGAAGAUGGAGCUUCAGGAAGUGGAACUUUGCUUUUGUUCUUCACACACCUGAUCAAGUCUGACUCAGGAAUGUACAGGUGUGCUUUGGGAAGCUCUUCUGUUCCAGAUUCUUACUAUGACUUUGAGGUCAGAGUUUCAAAUGAUCUGGAUAAAAAUGCUGGUUUUUAUCGCACCGAAACUGAAGGAGAAAAGAUCACAAUGGCAUGUUCCAACAACACAUAUGGACACAGGAAGUUCUUAUGUAAGAAUCAGUGUAAGAAUGAAGGGGAGAUCCUCAUUGACACAACUAAUAACAAAUCUGUGAGUGGCAGAUAUGAAAUUGAAUACAGACCAGGAUCCAUGUAUGGACUGUAUAUGAACAUCAGAAAGCUGACCAAGUCAGACACAGGAUGGUACUUGUGUGGGUAUGGAAACCCUCUGUCUCCUGAUUCAUACGCCAGAGAAUAUGUUCUUGUCAUUGAUGAUACAAACCCAGUUAUUUCCACACCACAAGGAACAACACAGAGUGAAAGUGUCACUCCAGGAGUCUCUACACAUGGUCCUGACUCCUCCUGGCUUCUGGUUGUGCGUGUGUCCUUGGAUGGUGUUUUGCUGAUGGCUGUUUUCCUCAUGCUCUUCUACAUUAGUAAGACAAGGAGGAACUUUGGACUGAACACCAGAGAAAAUGACACAAACAUGGAGGUGAGUUUGUGUCACUUGUUUUCUGUCUGUUGUUGCAGGUUUCAGUGAGUGUUGUUGAUUCAUGCUGUCAGUGUGACUUUCUCAGUGAAAUGUAGUGAAAAGAGGUGAUUAUCAAAGUUUCUUUAAUCAUACCGUCUUCACUACCAGAGGGAAGUGAAGACAAGUUGAACAAUUUUUAUAACAGACAGAAAGCUUUUCUAUAAUUAUGUACUUACAUAAUUAUAGAAAAGCUUUCUCUAGAAAAAACCUUGUGCUUCUUAUUUUUAAAGUUCAGUUUGCAUAAAACUGCGAUUUUCCAUGAGCUUAUUAAAAAUCUGUUUUGCAUCUCAGUUUUUGGGUUUUUUGUUUUUGUUUUUUGCCUGUCCCUUUCGGCACUGAAGCAAUCGGAAUUGUUGUCUGAAGGCCAAGAAAAAUGUCCAACGGAUUUAUUUUUCCAAAUGGAUCUUCAUGGCUUUGCCACAUUGUUCAAUUUGAAAUGUAUUUAUUUGUUUAUUCAUUUUAUUUAUUGCAUCUCAGGUUUUAUUUUAAUUUUUUUUUUUUCCAUUUUCAGUUAUCUGUCGGGUAUGAGAACUGGGAUCCAGCCUCCAAACAUGAUGAGUCCAAAAGCAGCAGGACCAAACCUACUCUGUAUUAUUAAAGACCAAAAUGUAAAAAGUAAAAAUUAAAUUUGACCAUCUACUCCCCGGGGUUAUCUGCUCUUCGAGGUUUGUUCCAUUUUGAUAUUUUUGGACCUAUAUCUGAUAUUUCAUGAUCACCUCCCAUAUAAUUUGCAUCACUAGGCUUCAUUUUGUUCCUGUUAUUCAAAUGCAUACACAUAUUGACACAGUUAAUUACAGACAUGGAAAGUAACAAAGUUUUUCAUUUUUUUUAAAAUGUUUUCAUAAAGAACAGCUGAUGUACUAGGUUGACUCCUUUUCCACCAUCAUUUCAUUUUCAUAUUUUUUAACAUAUUUCUGUAAUUUCAUAAUCAGCUCUCAUAUAAUUUACUUCACUGUGUUCCUUGCUGUAUAAUAGCUGUAUUUAAAUGUAGCAUGUAAAACUGAUUCAAUGUUAUGAUAAAGAAGAACAUAGUCUCUGUUUUGCAGUAAGGUUUUUGCUUUCUUUGAAGUUAUUCUUCCCCAAAAUUAACUGUAACUGAAACAGGUUUUACACAUUUGGUUUUAUUUCAUACAUUUUUGUUUUUAUUUUCAUGUAUGUGCUUACUUAUGCAAUGUAUUUGAAACUACUAGCUUCUGUUAGAAGGUGCAGAAAAAUUAAACAUAUUUUGAAAAUGCAAAAUAAUGUGAUGGUUCCUUAAAUGAAUUAGACACAUACAGAGUGCUCUACAAUGAUAAGUCUGUGCUAUUCAGGAAAACAAGAAACGAUAAAACAAACAGGGGAAAUACAAUCGAUAGUUGGAGCAGGAGUCUGAUUAAGGGAUGUCCAAAUGGUCAACAGCAUUUACUAAACAGUUUUUUCGACCUGUGGUAGCUGAUCCUGAUGAGGAUAACUGGAAGAGGAUGAAGAGAUGAAUUGAAAUUCUGAGCCAUGACAGCAGCCUUGAUCCACAGGGGAUGAAGUCAGAUGUAGAGAUCACUGUUAAAUGGGAACUGAUAAUAACUGAUUAUCCAGGCUGGUGUCAGGGCCUUUACAUAAGCAGCUCCUCUGUUGAUCCUUUUGUUUUUGUGUUUAUUUUUUUUAAAUAAACAAUUGUUAUGUUCAGGUGUUCAAUCGAUCUGUAGUAAUUAAGGUAGCUGGUAAUAAACUGUUCACACAC
rnacentral:lncRNA from 1 species